CAUUAUUGAAUAAACUUGGUUGGGUUGAUGCUGGCCUCUCGGGGCAUGUGCACGCCUACCGCCAUUUUUACCACCUGUGCACCUUUUGUAGACCUGGAUAUCUCUCGAGGAAACUCGGUUUGAGGACUGCUGUGCGUAAGCCAGCUUUCCUUGCAUUUCCGGUCUAUGUUUUCAUAUACCCCAUUAGAAUGUUAUAGAAUGUCAUUAAUGGGCUUCAUUGCCUUUAAAAUUAAUACAACUUUCAACAACGGAUCUCUUGGCUCUCGCAUCGAUGAAGAACGCAGCGAAAUGCGAUAAGUAAUGUGAAUUGCAGAAUUCAGUGAAUCAUCGAAUCUUUGAACGCACCUUGCGCUCCUUGGUAUUCCGAGGAGCAUGCCUGUUUGAGUGUCAUUAAAUUCUCAACCUUUCCAGUUUGUUAUGAACGGGUCAGGCUUGGAUGUGGGGGUUGCAGGCUUCUCAGAAGUCAGCUCCUCUUAAAUACAUUAGCAGUACCUUUGUGGACCAGCUUUGGUGUGAUAAUUAUCUACGCCAUGGUUGUGAAGCAGCUUUACAUGGGGUUCAGCUUCUAACAGUCCAUUGACUUGGACAAUUUUUGACAUUUUGACCU
rnacentral:rRNA from 1 species